rnacentral:rRNA from 1 species
UACGUAGGGUGCAAGCGUUAAUCGGAAUUACUGGGCGUAAAGCGUGCGUAGGUGGUUCGUUAAGUCUGAUGUGAAAGCCCUGGGCUCAACCUGGGAACUGCAUUGGAUACUGGCGAUCUGGAGUGCGGUAGAGGGUGGCGGAAUUCCCGGUGUAGCAGUGAAAUGCGUAGAGAUGUGGAGGAACACCGAUGGCGAAGGCAGCCCCCUGGGCUAACACUGACGCUCAGGCACGAAAGCGUGGGGAGCAAACAGG